GACGAACGCUGGCGGCGUGCUUAACACAUGCAAGUCGAACGGAGCGAAUGAAAGCUUGCUUUUAUAAGCUUAGUGGCAAACGGGUGAGUAACACGUAGGCAACCUGCCGACAGGAUGGGGACAACAUUCCGAAAGGAAUGCUAAUACCGAAUGAAGCGCAGGAGAGGCAUCUCUCCUGCGUGAAAGAUGGCCUCUAUAUAUAAGCUAUCACCUGUCGAUGGGCCUGCGUCUGAUUAGCUGGUAGGUGAGGUAACGGCUCACCUAGGCGACGAUCAGUAGCCGGUCUGAGAGGAUGAACGGCCACAUUGGGACUGAGACACGGCCCAGACUCCUACGGGAGGCAGCAGUGGGGAAUCUUCCGCAAUGGGCGCAAGCCUGACGGAGCAACGCCGCGUGAGUGAAGAAAGGGUCUUUCGGGAUCGUAAAAGCUCUGUUGAUGGGG
rnacentral:rRNA from 1 species